CCAUGCAGUCGAACGGGAGUUUCUUCGGAACUUAGUGGCGGACGGGUGAGUAANACGNUGAAGAACCUACCUUCAGAAUGGGGACAACAGUUGGAAACGACUGCUAAUACCCAAUGUGCCGAAAGGUGAAAGAUUUAUCGUCUGAAGAUGGGCUCGCGUCUGAUUAGCUAGAUGGUGGGGUAAGAGCCUACCAUGGCAACGAUCAGUAGCUGGUCUGAGAGGAUGAGCAGCCACACUGGGACUGAGACACGGCCCAGACUCCUACGGGAGGCAGCAGUGGGGAAUUUUCCGCAAUGGGCGAAAGCCUGACGGAGCAAUACCGCGUGAGGGAGGAAGGUCCUUGGAUUGUAAACCUCUUUUAUCAGGGAAGAAGUUCUGACGGUACCUGAUGAAUAAGCAUCGGCUAACUCCGUGCCAGCAGCCGCGGUAAUACGGAGGAUGCAAGCGUUAUCCGGAAUUAUUGGGCGUAAAGCGUCCGUAGGUGGUUAUGCAAGUCUGCCGUUAAAGAAUGGAGCUUAACUCCAUAAGAGCGGUGGAAACUGCAAGACUAGAGUACAGUAGGGGUAGCAGGAAUUCCCAGUGUAGCGGUGAAAUGCGUAGAUAUUGGGAAGAACAUCGGUGGCGAAAGCGUGCUACUGGGCUGAAACUGACACUGAGGGACGAAAGCUAGGGUAGCGAAAGGGAUUAGAUACCCCUGUAGUCCUAGCCGUAAACGAUGGAUACUAGGCGUGGCUUGUAUCGACCCGAGCCGUGCCGAAGCUAACGCGUUAAGUAUCCCGCCUGGGGAGUACGCACGCAAGUGUGAAACUCAAAGGAAUUGACGGGGGCCCGCACAAGCGGUGGAGUAUGUGGUUUAAUUCGAUGCAACGCGAANAACCUUACCAAGGCUUGACAUCCCUGGAAUCCUGUGGAAACGCGGGAGUGCCUUAGGGAGCCAGG
rnacentral:rRNA from 1 species